AGUGAACGCUGGCGGUAGGCCUAACACAUGCAAGUCGAACGGCAGCACAGUAAGAGCUUGCUCUUACGGGUGGCGAGUGGCGGACGGGUGAGGAAUACAUCGGAAUCUACUUUUUCGUGGGGGAUAACGUAGGGAAACUUAUGCUAAUACCGCAUACGACCUACGGGUGAAAGCAGGGGAUCUUCGGACCUUGCGCGAUUGAAUGAGCCGAUGUCGGAUUAGCUAGUUGGCGGGGUAAAGGCCCACCAAGGCGACGAUCCGUAGCUGGUCUGAGAGGAUGAUCAGCCACACUGGAGCUGAGACACGGUCCAGACUCCUACGGGAGGCAGCAGUGGGGAAUAUUGGACAAUGGGCGCAAGCCUGAUCCAGCCAUACCGCGUGGGUGAAGAAGGCCUUCGGGUUGUAAAGCCCUUUUGUUGGGAAAGAAAAGCAGCAGGUUAAUACCCCGCUGUUCUGACGGUACCCAAAGAAUAAGCACCGGCUAACUUCGUG
rnacentral:rRNA from 1 species